rnacentral:tRNA from 1 species
GCGCCAUCUGGCCGAUCAGGGCGGAGCGGCCGACCCUGACGGGCUCGGCACCGGCGCCACGCGGCGCCAGUUCGACCGUUCCGGACAUGACGAC